rnacentral:rRNA from 1 species
AUAGAUCUCAGUUCGGACUGUAGGCUGCAACUCGCCUACACGAAGUUGGAAUUGCUAGUAAUCGUGGAUCAGCAUGCCACGGUGAAUACGUUCCCGGGUCUUGUACACACCGCCCGUCACACCAUGGGAGUCGGUAACACCCGAAGUCGGUAGCCUAACCGUAAGGAGGGCGCCGCCGAAGGUGGGAUUGAUGACUGGGGUAAAGUCGUAACAAGGUACC